rnacentral:lncRNA from 1 species
UAGUCUAUAAUUAGUGGGUGGGGAGUGUUGGGGGAUUUUUUAGUGGGUGGGGAGUGUUUGGGGAAUUUUAUGUGUGUGCAUGUGUCUGGUCUCUGGGUGUCUGUGAAUUUCAUUGUAUGGGUAUACUGUGUAUAUACUUACAAUGACAAUAAGUUAAAUAAAUAAUUCCAGGGACAAAUUUUAAUCUGUGUCACUUUCAGCUUCCUGCUCCUGUGCUCUUCCCUGCCAGGCUGAAUGCCCUCCUGAAAUGGACAGUGAUUUGAUUGCAGGCACACAUCGUGGCACUUGACUGGCAGAGAGCUCAGUCCAUCAACACACAGAUUUCUUAUGUCCUGAAGAUCUGAAGGUGUGAAGCUGAUAUCAAAAGCUGCCAGGGUGUUGCUCAAUGUUCCAAAACAGAAGACUGCAUUCCUAUAAUGAGCCUCCAGAGUGUAAAUGGUCCAGGGACAACCUGGGCAGGAAGGAAAACGCCAGCAGAGUGGAUUCCUCACAUGUUUCUGAGUGCAGUCUUGAGAGAUAAUUAAUCACUGUGUUCUAGACCAGCCAUUCUCAAUUCUCGAAAACAUGGGUGACAUGGGAGGCCCUGGCAAUUCGAAGACUUGACUGAAAAAUAUGAUAAGUUUCUGAAAGGUAUCUGUUGGUAUUGUAUCCUUGUCUGACAGACAGCCCUGGACCUGAGAAGUGUUCCUAAAAGGGCCAUGGCCAAAAAAGCUUGAGAAUAGCUGUUGUAGCUAAUGAGUAUUUUUCAGUCUUCCAGCACCGUACAGUUAUAAUCAUAUCUGUCCCAGCUGUUAUGGUGACCAAGUUUUAGCAACAUUUUCAUUCCACAAAGCAGAUACUGCUUGGAUGUCCCCCUACAGUGUCACUAAAAUGCUUUGAAGUGCUCUGCUUCACAUAGGAUUGGGCAUUUGGAGAUUGUGAUUAAAGAAGUAGAGUGAAUUAUGGCUUCUAAGGGAUUGAUCUGUUGUUUCACUCAUGCAUCUGCACCUCCCUUUACAACUCCAUCUGUAAGUUCACAAAGAGUGUUCUUUGCUGCCCUUUCUCUUUAACUGUCCCUAUUGACACUUCAACAGAGAACAGAAUAGAUACCCUUCUUCUUUGCUCUGCAUCCUCAUUAAGAAGUGGAUUGCAGUGCUUUGCAAAAGAAAUGAUUCUGCCUCUUGAAUGACUGUUGUGCUGAUCUAUUCUUGCUUUACCCCGAACCAAAUGCAUUGCCAAGCAUCCCACUAGAGAAAAUCAUGAGCAUAAGAUCAAUCAUGCAAGCACUUUUUGGA